ensembl:lncRNA
CCCUGACCCUAGCAUGGGUAGUGAUUUGGAGACUCCACAAAGGCAUUGUAUCAGAUAGAAAAUUCACACUGAGUCACUCACUCCAAGACCUAAGUGGCUGCAGCUGGGCUCCCUUGUGACAGCUGUCAUAGAACUGCAUCCUGCACUGGGAAUUAUGGCUCCCAUAUCUUCACAUUCCACAAGUCCCCACUGGCAUUAGUAACCCAGUAACCUUAGUGCUACAGUGGCAUAGCACUGGCUGGACAUAAAGGUGCUAUGGGGUCCCUGGUAAUGUAGCCUUGGAGUACUAUUCCCAGGGAAAGAGCAGUGCAGAACACAAAAAAAGGCAGCCCAUGGAACAAAGGCAACCAAAAUGUGUGCUUUCCAGAACCCAAGAGCUCCCUGUCUGGGCCUAUGAGAAAUGACUCCACUCCCAGCAGUGACACAAACACUGUGCUUGGUUUUGCAAGCAAAGCAUGAAGUUCUUUCCCACUGGCAGAGCAGGCUCUGUGCUAGAGCUCAUGCAUAGAGAGCAGAACACAUUCUUCCCUUCUGCAUACUGCUGUUGGCACAGUCAUUGUUGCUACUGCUGAAAGCUGAGGAAGAGAUGGGGUUUCACCAUGCUGUCCAGGCUCGUCUCGAACUCCUGACCUCAGAUGAUCCACCCGACUCGGCCUCCCAAAGUGUGUGAGCCACUGCCCGACCAGAACUCAUUUUGUAAAAUAGAUCACUCUGGCUGCUGUGAGAAGAUCACCUGUGAGAAAUCCACAUGGAAGCAGGCAGAUGACAGCUUUCAAUCCCUGAUGGGUGAGAGAAGAGGGGAGGCCUUCUUCCAGAUGGCAAGUAAAGAAACAACUUGCUGAAACACUGAAACUCCCUCGCUUGUAAGACAACAAAACGGACUGAAAUCAGUUAGAACCAAUAUGGCCAACUAGAGACUGCGCAGAACCAGCUUGCGGACAGUACAGCUUGAAUUUUCACCGUUUGUUUUACACUAACUCACCACAAAUUUGCAUGUGGGACCCACAAGGGAGCAGGAAGAGAUAACUGUGCAUGUCUGAGGGCUUUCCUGACCUUCCCUUUCCUUCUAUCCAUCACCUACUAAUCCCAGAAUCCACCUUCUCAAUCCUAAUACAAUUAAUGUCUUAGAGCUUGCGUGAGUAGAUGGAUUUGAGCUGAGAUGAUGUCUCCAUGUUAGUCAAUUAGCAAUUGACUAACUAAUUGAAAAACUAAGCAAUGGAAAAACUAAGGAGUUUUUCUUGUCUUAAAACCCAGCAUCAUAGCAUUGGCUUCUAGUGCAUUAGGCAGUGAGCCCCUUUUGCUUGAUGAUAGCACCACUAGAACUUUGGAUUCUACAGCUUGCAAGGGUCUUUGCAGUGGCCUUGAUGGAAAGGGCAAGGGCAACUCCACAACAACUCGAAUACUUCUGACAGUAACUAGAAUAUUUCUGAUAAGCUUUUGAAAUAUUUUAUUGAUGCAAUCAGUUCAUUCUAGUCAAAGGAAAGAGAUUCAUGUUAUCUAGGACUUCUUUUUCCACAGAAUACUCUAAGUAUACCUCCCACCACAGAGAUUGAAUAGUGCAGCCUAAAAAAAAACAACAACAAAAAAAAACAAAAAAAAAAACCACACUGUGCUUUUCUGGUUUUAGUCCUUCAACUCUGUAUGUUAGAAGAUGAACUCUCAAGGUCCUGGUGUUUUUGAUUCUUUAUUUCUCCCAAGGUUGUCUAAUAAAAAUACAUUUAAUCUGUCAACCCCCUUACAUGACUGUCCGGAGCUGCGUGGCCCAGGCAUAGCGAUUAUAACUGACGACUGACGCCUAAGCUCUAUACAUUUCCACUUUAUGCCUCCUCCCUAGAUUUACUUUCUUCCCUGUUCUGCUGUCUCAUACGCCAGUACAAAAUGGCGCUCUUCCUGGUUCUUCAUCACCG